CGAUUGUCGAGUCCAUAAGUCCAAGGUGCAUACAUGCAGGAGCUUCUUUUCUUUUUUCCUUUGCAAGCUGGGGCCCACUUUUCAGUGGUCUUAGCAUUGCUGUAGAUGACUUUAGCAUCGGCUAAGGGGCAUGCAUGGGGUUUUCUUUGUCUAUUUCUCCCUUACUGACAAGUGGGUUGGCAACCAGUGCAGGGGCCAAGGCCGCCACGGGGUCCGUAUGUCGAGGUGGGGAUCGAACAAAUAUGAGGAGCUCGGGCACCUGCGGAGAGAAGCUAUGGAUAAAGCUAAGCAAGCUCCAUUCUCAUCUCCUGGUUGUCAACCCAAAUAAUUAAUGAAGGUGGCUCUCACUUGCCAUGAUACGAUUUCACUAUCCAGCUUUUGGACAACCAAAGGGCCAGACGUGAUUUCCAAGAGUAUCAUGAGGGGCAAAAAGAACUUUUAUGGCUUUUCAUUCUUCCACGGCUUCAACAUCCCUAUAUAAAUAAAGGUAAAACGGAGACCUAAAG
rnacentral:lncRNA from 1 species